CGUUACCAACCCAGAGAAGAGACCAAGUAGAAGGUUCUUAGAAAUGCUAAGGUAGCAACAUUCAUAUGUGAAGAGAGGAGGAGGAAAGAAGGAAGUUGAUAAGGUGAAAAGAAAAGGGGAAGGCAAUAGACCUUAGCCAAUUAGGACAUUUCCCACCAAGGCAAGUUGUUGGUGAAUGCCUCGGGGUGGAAAGGGUGGAGUGAGAGGAGCUUGAGCAGGCUGCUGGCUGCUGGACUGUGGAAAUAAAUGUGACUUACUGUGAAAGGCAAGGAGCAUAUGGCGAAGGUGAUGGUCAUAAUGGCUAGGAGAAUGAGGUGGUCCGUCUCCUCUGCCAUUGAAGUCCUUUCUCCUCUCCUGCGAGAUCCAGGGCCUCUUAGGCUAUUGCUAGACAAUCCGCAGCGGCUUCUUCUGCUCCGAUGGUGCAUGCGAAUGAGGUUGAGGAUAACGCUGAUGUUGCAGGCAAGCACAGCCACGAUGAGCAGCAGGAGCAUGGUGGCGUACAGCUGAAGGUAAUGAAGCUACUGUUGCUUGUCCAGGCCACCCUUUCAGAAGUGUUGGUCUAGCAUGCUUGGCUGGAUGCCGUCCCGCAGCUCCUACUUGCGUGGGG